UAUCUCUGUAGAGUCUGCAUAUCAAUAAGCGGAGGAAAAGAAACUAACAAGGAUUCCCUUAGUAACGGCGAGUGAAGCGGGAAGAGCUCAAAUUUGAAAUCUUCAAGGUUCUACCUUGACGAGUUGUAGUUUAUAGAAGUGUUUUCUGUUAGUAGAGUGGCUAAGAGUUCUUUGGAAUAGGACAUCAUAGAGGGUGAGAAUCCCGUAUUUGGUCAUUCUUUCUAGCUUUGUGAUACACUUUCAACGAGUCGGAUUGUUUGGGAAUGCAGUCCAAAAUGGGUGGUAAAUUUCAUCUAAAGCUAAAUAUUGGCGAGAGACCGAUAGCGAACAAGUACCGUGAGGGAAAGAUGAAAAGAACUUUGAAAAGAGAGUUAAACAGUACGUGAAAUUGUCAAAAGGGAAGCGUUUGACACCAGUGUUGUUUUUCCGAAAAUCAAUUACGAAUGUUUUGUUUUUGAGAAGUUAUGACUUCAUCGGCUUGCUUCUCUCUUUACGAAACUUUCUUAAUGCACUUUUCGGUUAACAAGUCAACAUCAAUUUCUUUUGUUGUAAAAGGGUAUGAGGAAGGUGGCUUUCUUUUCGGAGAAAGUGUUUAUAGCCUUGUACCUCUGCAAUCGGAGAGAUUGAGGUCUGCAGCGUAGAUCCUUCGGGGUUAGAUACAUUUGUGCUAAGUUAUAGCUUUUCAUAGACAACUUGUUGACUAUGUUUAGUCUUGUAGCUUACUCGCUUAUGCUAUUUUACCUACGCUUAGGAUGUUGAUGUGAUACUGCGAGCA
rnacentral:rRNA from 1 species